GUGCUUACAAAUAAAGUUUAAUAAAUUCAUGUAUUCAGACGUUUACAGGUUUGCCUACAAUAAGGAACUUUACAAACAUUAAUUUUACACAACAAAUCUACUUUAUCAUAUAUACAUGAAUUCUCAACAGUUUAUAAUUGUACCUGGAGCAUUUUUAAACAAGAAUGCCCCAUUCGCAUUAUCAUUUUCCAUGUUCAGUGGACUGUAAAAUUGGGGUCAAAACUUUAAUUUGGCAUUUAAAUUAGGAAGAUCAUAUCAUAGGGAACAUGUGUACUAAGUUUCAAGUUGAUUAAACUUCAACUUCAUCAAAAACUACCUUGACAAAAAACUUUAACCUGAACUUCGCACUAUCAUUUUCUAUGUUCAGUUGAUCGUGAAAUUGGGGUCAAAACUUUAAUUUGGCAUUAAAAUUAGAAAGAUCAUAUCAUGGGAACAUGUGUACUAAGUUUCAAGUUGAUUGGACUUCAACUUCAUCAAAAACUACCUUGACCAAAAACUUUAACCUGAAGCGGGACGAACAGACGCACAGACGAAGGAACGAACAGAUGAACGGACAGACAGACCAGAAAACAAAAUGACCCUCUACUAUCGUAGAUCGUAGGUGGGGCAUAAAAAUCUUAAUUCAAAGAUGUUGAAAUGAUAAUUAACACUUAAUAUAAACCAUUUUUCACUUCACUUGGUACUUGUAAUUAAUAUCAUACCUCAAUAUCAAUUGUGUCUAAAUUUAUAUCACAGACUUUGAAUGGUUCACAAAUUUAGAAAAUUGACAUGAACAAAAAGAGAUGUGGGGUAUAUAUCAAUAAGUCAGCAACCCCGCAACCAAAACCAAAACAAAGGUUAUAUAUCAGAUGAGAUAUUAGAAUCUAACAGCAAACAGCAAAUCAUGCAUAGCCUAUAUAACUUUAUUUAGUAAAAUAUAACCUCUAUAUCCUCACAUUCCUUUUGUAAUUUAAAUUUUCAUCCCAAAACAUUUCUGUUAGUAAUUGACCUUUGCCUUCACUGUGUUUUUAAAUAAUUAUAUCAUGGCGUUUCAAGGCAUUCUCAUAGUGGUUAAGAAUAUACAAGUAUAGGGUAAACAAUAAGUUGAUGAGCUUUAAAACAUGCUCACAUGAAGCUUGCUACAGUUAACAGACAACGACAGACGAAGGACGCUAACCUUUGGAUCAAGUGAACUAAAAACUAACAGCCGUAUUGCUGUAUUAUCUAUACUGUAAAUUCAUUUAUUCAUGGAUACCAAUUUUCGUGGAUGGAGGGAAAAGUGUAUUUUGUAAGAAUUUGAUUUCAUGGCGUUUUCCUACGUCUGCAUUCAAGCCUACCGAAUAUUUGUAAUAGUUGAACCUUUAAAUUCAUGGGUAAAAUUGAUAUCCAUCAAAUAAUAAUGAAUUCACAAGAGAUCUCAAAUAUUGAAAUCAUUUUUAAAUGAUACUUUUAAUUGAAUAUCCAAAUCAUAUUACUAUCUAUU
rnacentral:lncRNA from 1 species